rnacentral:rRNA from 1 species
UACGUAGGGGGCAAGCGUUGUCCGGAAUCAUUGGGCGUAAAGAGCGUGUAGGCGGUUCGGUAAGUCUGCUGUGAAAGUCCAGGGCUCAACCCUGGAAAGCCGGUGGAUACUGUCGGACUAGAGUGCGGAAGAGGCGAGUGGAAUUCCCGGUGUAGCGGUGAAAUGCGCAGAUAUCAGGAGGAACACCGAUGGCGAAGGCAGCUCGCUGGGACGUGACUGACGCUGAGACGCGAAAGCGUGGGGAGCAAACAGG